rnacentral:rRNA from 1 species
UGGGGAAUCUUGGACAAUGGGCGCAAGCCUGAUCCAGCCAUGCCGCGUGAGUGAAGAAGGCCUUCGGGUUGUAAAGCUCUUUUUACCAGGGACGAUAAUGACGGUACCUGGAGAAUAAGCCCCGGCAAACUUCGUGCCAGCAGCCGCGGUAAUACGAAGGGGGCUAGCGUUGUUCGGAAUUACUGGGCGUAAAGCGCACGUAGGCGGAUUGUUAAGUCAGAGGUGAAAUCCCGGAGCUCAACUUCGGAACUGCCUUUGAUACUGGCAAUCUAGAGUCCGGAAGAGGUUAGUGGAAUUCCCAGUGUAGAGGUGAAAUUCGUAGAUAUUCGCAAGAACACCAGUGGCGAAGGCGGCUCACUGGCCCGGUACUGACGCUGAGGUGCGAAAGCGUGGGGAGCAAACAGGAUUAGAUACCCAAGUAGUCCCUGAGCGGGCUGGCAAGGCGCAU